rnacentral:ncRNA from 1 species
GAGAAAGAGUUAAACCAAUCUGAACUAGUUUUGAAUCACUGUUGUUAGAAAGGUUAAUUUUUUCUGUUUCCUCAAUUAUGGGCGUCCUGUUUUCAUUGUUUUCAAUAGCUUUUAGAAUUUCAAGGUCGGUUUCUUGUGAAGCAACGUUGUUUGGAUUAGGAUUGUGUUUUUGAAUUAGAGCUCGAAGAGUAAGUAGAAAUUGAAGUGUUAUUGAAAUCAGCAAUCAUUACAUCGAUUGUUUUGACUUGAAGCUUGCCGGGAGCGUCGUCCUCUCGAUUGUGGUAGGCAGCGCGCGCCGUCACGGCGUGCUUCGGCACCUAGGCGCUCCAGGCGUCGGCCUGCGGGCCCCCCAUUCGGCCCGUCUUGAAACACGGACCAAGGAGUCUGACAUGUGUGCGAGUCAACGGGCGAGUAAACCCGUACGGCGCAAGGAAGCUAAUUGGCGGGAUCCCCUAGCGGGUGCACCGCCGACCGACCUUGAUCUUCUGAGAAGGGUUCGAGUGUGAGCAUACCUGUCGGGACCCGAAAGAUGGUGAACUAUGCCUGAGCGGGGCGAGCCCAGCGGAAACUCUGGUGGAGGCCCGAAGCGAUACUGACGUGCAAAUCGUUCGUCUGACUUGGGUAUAGGGGC